rnacentral:misc_RNA from 1 species
AAAUCUCGGAUGCUGUGCUGUUCCAGAUUUUCACCACUAUGCAGCAGAUUGAGUACAUCUUUGGCGUAGACCAGCCCGACAAUGUUAUCGACAUUAUCAUGAUAGACCGGCACACGCGAAUAUCCCGACUCAACGAAGAUACGCACUGCUUCCUUAAUCGGCGUGGUGACUUCCAGCGU